ensembl:lncRNA
UCAAGAUGGAACACUGGUAGUACUUGUUACCUGUUGUGGAAGAUUUACUUAAAUGGUUACCCAUGGGAGUCUUUGGGAGUGAGUGUCUAUUGCAAGAAAUCGUUAUGGAGGGCACAUGGAGAAUAUAAGACCUGCGGGUUUGGCUUGCUCCUUCAAAGUACCCUGGAGAAGUUAAAGAAAGAAAAUUAUAAGUUCAAGUUUUAAAUUCUCAGCUCAAUGAAUGAUCAGAAGACCAAGAAAUUUUUAACGUCGUCCUGAAGAAUUUUUUUUAAUCUCAUAGCAAAGGAUUUAUGUAGCAGAAAAUCGUCUCCAGAGUCUAAUCCUGAGAGUUGUUGAAUUAUAAUAUAGUUUGAAUUUAUUUACCAGCUCUCUUAAGCAAGGAUUAGGGUAUUGAUAGGGAAGAGUGGGACCCCUAGAAUUGGAAUGAGACAUUUGGGAUCAGCUGGAUGACUGAGAACCCCAAACUCACAAACUUUAUUUUUGGUACCAAUUACUAUAUUGCUCAGUGUUUUUAGCUAUAGACAACAGAAUCCACACUUGCUGAUAAGGGCAUGACCCAGAAGUUGCACUACUUCUGCUCCCGUUCCAUGUGCCGUGACCUUGUCGCAUGACCUCAUCUAACUGCAAGGGAGGCUAGGAAAUGUAGUUGUUAGCUGGAUAGCUGUGUGCCCAAAUAAUGCUUCUAUUACUACAAAAGGCAGAAGGAAUUUUGGGAAGACAAUCAAUGGUAUUUCUGUUAACUAAGAUGAAGAAUGCAGAAAGAGGAGCAAGUUGUGUAAGGAAGCUGUGGGCAGGAAGAAAAUAAAUUUGGUUUGGGAAGUAUUGAGUUUAAAAGCCUGUGGCACGUCUAGUAUGAGAUGUCCAGUAAGAUGGAGAGGGGAAGGGUGUCUUGCCCAGGGAGAGUUUAGGAUGAGAAAAAAGGGCCAACAUUUAAGGAUGAAGUAGAGGGAGGGGAGUGUCUGGAAGAAAGUAGGAAAGAGCAGAGAAGUAAGAAGAGAAUUAGGAGAAGCUUCUGUCUCAGAAGUCAAGGAAAGUGUUCAAGGAAGGAGGCAGUUAUCAAGAGUGACAAACGCUGCUGAGAGGACAAGUAGAAAAGAGGUGAGAUAUUUGACAUUUGAAAAAAGGCUAAGCAGAGAGUGGGAGCUGUCUAAAACUUUGUUGACCAGAUCAUCUCAGAAGAGUUUGGCAGAGCCAAGAAGUAAAAACUUGUAGAGACAUGGGUGAGUCAUUGAGUACAAAGGGGGAAAGGCAAGCAGAGUAAGGGGUGAGGAGAGGAACAAGGAUGGUUGCCCUUUCUCCUAAACCCCAGAUGUGUUAUAUGGUUUGCAGAAAGGGACAUAAUUAUUUUCCUCCCUGAACUCAUGACCCUUUGCAAUGUAAUUUUGCAGCUCCUCCCAUGAAGAGAUGGUGCCUGUUUUCCUGCCCCUUGUAUUGACUAGACUUGUGACUUGUUUGGCCAACAGCAUCCAAGGGAAGUACAUUCCGUCAGUUUUGAGCUUGGGCCUCAAGAGGCCUUGCACACUUCUGCUCUAACUCUUAAAACACUGUGGAGCUCCUUAAGGAAAAGUCUAGGCCAGCCUCCUGGAUGAUGAUGGCCCCAGAGCUUCUGCUGACAGCCAGUCAACCCCAGACAUAAAGGCAUCUAGCUAAGACACAGCAUGAAUGAGCUCAGCCAAGAACAGAAAGACAACUCAGCUGAACCAAGCCCAAACUGCUGACCAGUCCACAGAACUGUGAACUAAAUAAAUGGCUACUGUUUUAAGCUACUAAGAUUUGGAGUGGUUUGUUACACAGUGAAAGCUAACUGAUACGCCACUUUGGGGUUGGGAAGGUGGUGAAGUAGGGAAAGAGAGAAGAAGAUGAGAGACGGAGAUUGGG